UUGUGUUUCAGUAUUUAUUUCCCUCUCCAGGAGGAGAUUUACUCUUCUACUGAUGUCUGUCGACAAGCAUAGGGUGCAGGCAGGUGUGUGC